rnacentral:rRNA from 1 species
GGGUUGUGAGGUUAAGCGACUAAGCGUACACGGUGGAUGCCCUGGCAGUCAGAGGCGAUGAAGGACGUGCUAAUCUGCGAUAAGCGUCGGUAAGGUGAUAUGAACCGUUAUAACCGGCGAUUUCCGAAUGGGGAAACCCAGUGUGUUUCGACACACUAUCAUUAACUGAAUCCAUAGGUUAAUGAGGCGAACCGGGGGAACUGAAACAUCUAAGUACCCCGAGGAAAAGAAAUCAACCGAGAUUCCCCCAGUAGCGGCGAGCGAACGGGGAGCAGCCCAGAGCCUGAAUCAGUGUGUGUGUUAGUGGAAGCGUCUGGAAAGGCGCGCGAUACAGGGUGACAGCCCCGUACACAAAAAUGCACAUACUGUGAGCUCGAUGAGUAGGGCGGGACACGUGGUAUCCUGUCUGAAUAUGGGGGGACCAUCCUCCAAGGCUAAAUACUCCUGACUGACCGAUAGUGAACCAGUACCGUGAGGGAAAGGCGAAAAGAACCCCGGCGAGGGGAGUGAAAAAGAACCUGAAACCGUGUACGUACAAGCAGUGGGAGCACGCUUCGGCGUGUGACUGCGUACCUUUUGUAUAAUGGGUCAGCGACUUAUAUUCUGUAGCAAGGUUAACCGAAUAGGGGAGCCGAAGGGAAACCGAGUCUUAACUGGGCGUUAAGUUGCAGGGUAUAGACCCGAAACCCGGUGAUCUAGCCAUGGGCAGGUUGAAGGUUGGGUAACACUAACUGGAGGACCGAACCGACUAAUGUUGAAAAAUUAGCGGAUGACUUGUGGCUGGGGGUGAAAGGCCAAUCAAACCGGGAGAUAGCUGGUUCUCCCCGAAAGCUAUUUAGGUAGCGCCUCGUGAAUUCAUCUCCGGGGGUAGAGCACUGUUUCGGCAAGGGGGUCAUCCCGACUUACCAACCCGAUGCAAACUGCGAAUACCGGAGAAUGUUAUCACGGGAGACACACGGCGGGUGCUAACGUCCGUCGUGAAGAGGGAAACAACCCAGACCGCCAGCUAAGGUCCCAAAGUCAUGGUUAAGUGGGAAACGAUGUGGGAAGGCCCAGACAGCCAGGAUGUUGGCUUAGAAGCAGCCAUCAUUUAAAGAAAGCGUAAUAGCUCACUGGUCGAGUCGGCCUGCGCGGAAGAUGUAACGGGGCUAAACCAUGCACCGAAGCUGCGGCAGCGACACUAUGUGUUGUUGGGUAGGGGAGCGUUCUGUAAGCCUGUGAAGGUGUGCUGUGAGGCAUGCUGGAGGUAUCAGAAGUGCGAAUGCUGACAUAAGUAACGAUAAAGCGGGUGAAAAGCCCGCUCGCCGGAAGACCAAGGGUUCCUGUCCAACGUUAAUCGGGGCAGGGUGAGUCGACCCCUAAGGCGAGGCCGAAAGGCGUAGUCGAUGGGAAACAGGUUAAUAUUCCUGUACUUGGUGUUACUGCGAAGGGGGGACGGAGAAGGCUAUGUUGGCCGGGCGACGGUUGUCCCGGUUUAAGCGUGUAGGCUGGUUUUCCAGGCAAAUCCGGAAAAUCAAGGCUGAGGCGUGAUGACGAGGCACUACGGUGCUGAAGCAACAAAUGCCCUGCUUCCAGGAAAAGCCUCUAAGCAUCAGGUAACAUUAAAUCGUACCCCAAACCGACACAGGUGGUCAGGUAGAGAAUACCAAGGCGCUUGAGAGAACUCGGGUGAAGGAACUAGGCAAAAUGGUGCCGUAACUUCGGGAGAAGGCACGCUGAUAUGUAGGUGAAGUCCCUCGCGGAUGGAGCUGAAAUCAGUCGAAGAUACCAGCUGGCUGCAACUGUUUAUUAAAAACACAGCACUGUGCAAACACGAAAGUGGACGUAUACGGUGUGACGCCUGCCCGGUGCCGGAAGGUUAAUUGAUGGGGUUAGCGGUAACGCGAAGCUCUUGAUCGAAGCCCCGGUAAACGGCGGCCGUAACUAUAACGGUCCUAAGGUAGCGAAAUUCCUUGUCGGGUAAGUUCCGACCUGCACGAAUGGCGUAAUGAUGGCCAGGCUGUCUCCACCCGAGACUCAGUGAAAUUGAACUCGCUGUGAAGAUGCAGUGUACCCGCGGCAAGACGGAAAGACCCCGUGAACCUUUACUAUAGCUUGACACUGAACAUUGAGCCUUGAUGUGUAGGAUAGGUGGGAGGCUUUGAAGUGUGGACGCCAGUCUGCAUGGAGCCGACCUUGAAAUACCACCCUUUAAUGUUUGAUGUUCUAACGUUGACCCGUAAUCCGGGUUGCGGACAGUGUCUGGUGGGUAGUUUGACUGGGGCGGUCUCCUCCUAAAGAGUAACGGAGGAGCACGAAGGUUGGCUAAUCCUGGUCGGACAUCAGGAGGUUAGUGCAAUGGCAUAAGCCAGCUUGACUGCGAGCGUGACGGCGCGAGCAGGUGCGAAAGCAGGUCAUAGUGAUCCGGUGGUUCUGAAUGGAAGGGCCAUCGCUCAACGGAUAAAAGGUACUCCGGGGAUAACAGGCUGAUACCGCCCAAGAGUUCAUAUCGACGGCGGUGUUUGGCACCUCGAUGUCGGCUCAUCACAUCCUGGGGCUGAAGUAGGUCCCAAGGGUAUGGCUGUUCGCCAUUUAAAGUGGUACGCGAGCUGGGUUUAGAACGUCGUGAGACAGUUCGGUCCCUAUCUGCCGUGGGCGCUGGAGAACUGAGGGGGGCUGCUCCUAGUACGAGAGGACCGGAGUGGACGCAUCACUGGUGUUCGGGUUGUCAUGCCAAUGGCACUGCCCGGUAGCUAAAUGCGGAAGAGAUAAGUGCUGAAAGCAUCUAAGCACGAAACUUGCCCCGAGAUGAGUUAUCCCUGACUCCUUGAGAGUCCUGCAGGAACGUUGAAGACGACGACGUUGAUAGGCCGGGUGUGUAAGCGCAGCGAUGCGUUGAGCUAACCGGUACUAAUGAACCGUGAGGC